GCUGGGCGUGGUGGCGCAUGCCAGGUGUCCCAGCUACUUGGGAGGUUAAGACAGGAGAAUCACUUGAACCUGGGAGGUGGAGGUUGCAGUGAGCUGAGAUCGUGCCACUGCACUCCAGCCUGGUGAUAGGGCAAAAUUCCUCCUAAGGAAAAAAAAAAAAAAAANNNNNNNNNNUUUUUUUUUUUUUUUUCCUUAGGAGGAAUUUUGCCCUAUCACCAGGCUGGAGUGCAGUGGCACGAUCUCAGCUCACUGCAACCUCCGCCUCCCAGGUUCAGCCAUUCUCCUGCC
rnacentral:SRP_RNA from 1 species